rnacentral:rRNA from 1 species
AUUAAACGCUGGCGGCAUGCCUUACACAUGCAAGUCGAACGGUAGCGCGGGGCUACCUGGCGACGAGUGGCGAACGGGUGAGUAAAGCAUCGGAACGUGCCCUGGAAUGGGGGAUAACGUAGCGAAAGUUACGCUAAUACCGCAUAUUCUGUGAGCAGGAAAGCAGGGAAUCGCAAGACCUUGCGUUCUGGGAGCGGCCGAUGUCGGAUUAGCUAGUUGGUGGGGUAAAAGCCUACCAAGGCGACGAUCCGUAGCGGGUCUGAGAGGAUGAUCCGCCACACUGGGACUGAGACACGGCCCAGACUCCUACGGGAGGCAGCAGUGGGGAAUUUUGGACAAUGGGCGGAAGCCUGAUCCAGCCAUGCCGCGUGAGUGAAGAAGGCCUUGG